UAAGAAGGAAGGGGGAGGGGA
rnacentral:misc_RNA from 1 species